rnacentral:misc_RNA from 1 species
AAGUCGUAACAAGGUUUCCGUAGGUGAACCUGCGGAAGGAUCAUUAACACGUAUCCAACGUUAAAAACCCCGUGAACCUUCAUCGCCGCUCCUCAUGGCUAAGUCUUGGAUAAAGCCAAACAGCAAUCCCGCUAACACGCCGGGCAUUUAAAAACGUUUAAACAACUGUUAACAAUGGAUAUCUUGGUUCUC